rnacentral:rRNA from 1 species
UUUCCAGCCGCCGCGGUAGUACAGAGGGUGCAAGCGUUGUUCGGAAUUAUUGGGCGUAAAGCGCGUGUAGGCGGCUUUGUAAGUUGGGUGUGAAAGCCCUCGGCUUAACCGAGGAAGUGCGCCCAAAACUGCAUGGCUUGAGUACCGGAGAGGGUGGCGGAAUUCCCGGUGUAGAGGUGAAAUUCGUAGAUAUCGGGAGGAACACCAGCGGCGAAGGCGGCCACCUGGACGGAUACUGACGCUGAGACGCGAAAGCGUGGGGAGCAAACAGGAUUAGAUACCCGCGUAGUCC